GUCAGGAUGGCCGAGUGGUCUAAGGCGCCAGACUCAAGGUUUCAUACCUUCCUCUAAAAUGGGGCUUCUGGUCUCCGAAUGGAGGCGUGGGUUCGAAUCCCACUUCUGACA
rnacentral:tRNA from 1 species